rnacentral:rRNA from 1 species
UACGUAGGGGGCAAGCGUUGUCCGGAAUCAUUGGGCGUAAAGAGCGUGUAGGCGGCUUGCUAAGUCUUGCGUGAAAUCUCGGGGCUCAACCCCGAGCGGUCGUGGGAAACUGGCAGGCUAGAGUGCGGGAGAGGAGAAUGGAAUUCCUGGUGUAAGCGGUGAAAUGCGCAGAUAUCAGGAAGAACACCCGUGGCGAAGGCGGUUCUCUGGAACGCAACUGACGCUGAGACGCGAAAGCGUGGGGAGCGAACGGG